CCUACGGGUGGCAGCAGUGGGGAAUAUUGGACAAUGGGGGGAACCCUGAUCCAGCCAUGCCGCGUGUGUGAAGAAGGCCCUCGGGUUGUAAAGCACUUUCAGUGAGGAAGAACGCCUGGUGGUUAAUACCCAUCAGGAAAGACAUCACUCACAGAAGAAGCACCGGCUAACUCCGUGCCAGCAGCCGCGGUAAUACGGAGGGUGCGAGCGUUAAUCGGAAUUACUGGGCGUAAAGCGCGCGUAGGUGGAUUGAUAAGCCGGUUGUGAAAGCCCCGGGCUCAACCUGGGAACGGCAUCCGGAACUGUCAAGCUAGAGUGCAGGAGAGGAAGGUAGAAUUCCCGGUGUAGCGGUGAAAUGCGUAGAGAUCGGGAGGAAUACCAGUGGCGAAGGCGGCCUUCUGGACUGACACUGACACUGAGGUGCGAAAGCGUGGGUAGCAAACAGGAUUAGAUACCCUGGUAGUC
rnacentral:rRNA from 1 species